GACGAACGCUGGCGGCGUGCCUAACACAUGCAAGUCGAACGAAGUGGCGAACGGGUGAGUAACGCGUAAUCAACCUGCCCUUCAGAGGGGGACAACAGUUGGAACCGAAUGCUAAUACCGCUUACGGACGGAGGGGAUUGUGUGGGAAUGGCUAGUUGGAGGGGUAACGGCCCACCAAGGCGAUGAUUAGUAGCCGGGCUGAGAGGAUGAACGGCAAAAUGGGGACUGAGACACGGCCCAGACUCCUAGGGGCGGAAGCAGGGGGGAAUCUUACGAAAUGGACGAAAGUCUGACGGAGCAACGCCGCGUGAGUGAUGACGGCCUGCGGGUUGUAAAGCUCUGUUAAUCGGGACGCGGUACCGGAAUAGAAAGCCACGGCUAACUACGUGCCAGCAGCCGCGGUAAUAC
rnacentral:rRNA from 1 species